rnacentral:tRNA from 1 species
GAGGGUAUAGCUCAGUGGUAGAGUGCAUGCCUAGCAUGCACAAGGUCCUGGGUUCAAUCCCCAGUCCCCCCA